UAUAUUUUAGUGUAAGUUGCACAUUGAAUUUUGAUUUCAAAGGAUUAGUUUAAUUCUAAAAAAUAUAA
rnacentral:tRNA from 1 species